rnacentral:rRNA from 1 species
CCUACGGGUGGCUGCAGUAAGGAAUAUUGGUCAAUGGACGCAAGUCUGAACCAGCCAUGCCGCGUGGAGGAUGAAGGUCCUCUGGAUUGUAAACUUCUUUUAUUUGGGAAGAAACUCCCGAUUUCCAUCGGGAUUGACGGUACCAGAUGAAUAAGCACCGGCUAACUCCGUGCCAGCAGCCGCGGUAAUACGGAGGGUGCCGGAUUUAUCCGGAUUAACGGGGUUGUAGGUGUGCGUGGAAGGCAGUGGAGAAAUCUCCGGGCUUAACCCGGAAACUGCCAUUGAUACUAUUUGUCUUGAAUACUCUGGAGGUGAGCGGAAUAUGUCAUGAAGCGGUGAAAUGCUUAGAUAUGACAUAGAACACCCAUUGCGAAGGCAGCUCACUACGGAAAUAUUGACGCUGAGGCACGAAAGCGUGGGGAUCAAACAGGAUUAGAUACCCCUGUAGUC